UACGUAGGGGGCAAGCGUUGUCCGGAUUUAUUGGGCGUAAAGAGCGUGUAGGCGGCCAAGUAAGUCUGCUGUGAAAACUCGAGGCUUAACCUCGAGCUGUCGGCGGAAACUAUUUGGCUAGAGUCCGGAAGAGGAGAAUGGAAUUCCCGGUGUAGCGGUGAAAUGCGCAGAUAUCGGGAAGAACGCCCGUGGCGGAAAGCGGGCGCCUGGACCCCGCCUGACGCUGAGACGCGAAAGCCAGGGGAGCGAACGGG
rnacentral:rRNA from 1 species